UAUUGCACAAUGGACGGAAGUCUGAUGCAGCGACGCCGUGUGAGGGAUGACGGCCUUCGGGUUGUAAACCUCUUUCGUCAGGGACGAAGCCUUUAUCGGUGACGGUACCUGGAGAAGAAGCGCCGGCCAACUACGUGCCAGCAGCCGCGGUAAGACGUAGGGCGCGAGCGUUGUCCGGAUUUAUUGGGCGUAAAGAGCUCGUAGGCGGCUCAUCGCGUCGUGCGUGAAAAUCCACCGCUCAACGGUGGACUUGCGUUCGAUACGGGUGGGCUGGAGUUCGGUAGGGGAGACUGGAAUUCCUGGUGUAGCGGUGAAAUGCGCAGAUAUCAGGAGGAACACCGGUGGCGAAGGCGGGUCUCUGGGCCGAUACUGACGCUGAGGAGCGAAAGCGUGGGGAGCGAACAGG
rnacentral:rRNA from 1 species